ensembl:lncRNA
AUGUCAGACACUGACGAACUGCCUGCAGGGGGGGUAGACGUCCCUGUUGAGGGGGCUGUGGGUAAUGAUGUUAUAGAGCAAAUGAGAGGUCAAAUUCAAGAGUUAAGAGAUUGGAGGGAUAAUGCUCUGGCCAAUAGGGCAGUUGAUGGGGGUAAUUCAACUCGCUCUUAUAUUUAUGUCCCUUGUGAACGUCAGAUUCAACCCUUUUGCGGAGAGUACAACAAAGAUGGGAGGUCUGUAGAAGAGUUUAUUGAGGAGGUGGAAAGGGUUCUACGGGCCAGAGAUCAAACCCAGGAAGAACAGUUGGACUUUAUUAUUUCACAUCUGAGGGGGCCCGCACUUGAAGAGGUGCGUUUAUGUGUGGGAAACCAGUCCAGACAGGCCAGUGAUUUGUUUGCAUUCCUACGGGAAGCGUUUGGAGAACGGCGUAGUGGGACACAAUUGUUGCAGAUGUUUUACAAUCGCAAACAAUUGGAGGGGGAAGACCUUCGAAAUUACUCUCAUGCUCUCUCUCGCCUAUUAAGCUCUGUCACAAAACAGUCCCCAGGUGGUCUAGCUAAUGAGCAGGGGAUUUUACGUGAUCAGUUUGUGGAGGGUGUGCGAGAUGCUGCAUUAAGGCGAGAGCUGCGUAAAACAAUCAGAGAAAAGCCCCAUUUGACCCUGCUUGAGAUACGUAAUGAAGCCAUUCUUUGGUCAAUGGAAGAGAGCAGGCCGAUUAGAGUUGCAAAUAAUCGACCCAUCCAUUCAGAAGUACUUAGUGAAACUAAGGAUAAUGCUGCCGGGUCUGAGGCUCAAACAUCCACUGUGUUAAAUUAUAUUUUACAAGUGAUUACACGGCAGGACAAGCGAAUAAGUGAGCAAGAGCAAACCAUUUCAGAGCUCACUAAGUCGCUAAAGGAGUUAACUGCACAACGGUCAGUGUCAGUUCCGCAAAAUUUUGUGCCCUUGUCAAAGUCUCCUCCCAGGUUUACAGAGGAGGGAGAACCUAUCUGUUUCAGGUGCAAUGAGGUUGGGCAUAUCGCUAGGCGCUGCACUAUGAGACGGGGUGGGAGACCCAAGAGUACUGCCAGGACCAAUGAAAGGCAAGAAAACCCAGGUCCUUCCAUGGCGCUGAGUCAGGCAACGCAAGGGGCAGUGUCUGGUUCACCGUCUGAGGGAACCAGUCGAGAUAGGUUCCUUGAACGAGCAGUUGGAACGUGCCCUAUGGUGGACUUGAAAAUCAGGGGUGUGCUAGUGUCAUGUCUGCUCGACACUGGUAGUCAGGUCAGUACCAUCACAGAGGGAUUCUUCCGAGAGCAUCUGUUUGGUAAUGAGAGUGAUGUGUUGUCAACAUCAGGUUGGCUGAAGAUCACAGCAGCCAACGGUUUAGACAUUCCUUAUUUGGGUUACAUGGAGCUGGACGUGGAGGUUAUGGGGAUGACUUUGCCUGAGUGUGGCUUCUUGAUUGUUAAAGAAACUCCUAGUCCAUCGUCUAUGGCUGUGCUAAUCGGAAUGAACAUUAUUAGUAAGUGCCGACAGAUCGUUCACGCUGAAUCUGACACUGCAUUAGGUGGGAGACUUGACUCCAACUGGAGGGUAGCCUUCCAGCAGGCCCAAUCGGUUGAGUUAGUGGAGCGAGUUUCAUUCGCUCGUGUCGCAGGUAAGACUCCUGCCCAUGUGCCUGCUUGGUCUGCAGCCACUGUCCUGAUCAGGGGUAUGGAAUCUGGGAAAAAAAGGGAUGGCUCUGUAUGGUUGGUUGAACCAGUGAACACACCCUUGCCAGGAGGUUUGGUUGUAGUACCUACCUUGGUCACGUCAGAGUUACCUUUGUGUCCAGUG